GAUGAACGCUGGCGGCGUGCUUAACACAUGCAAGUCGAACGAUGAAGCCCAGCUUGCUGGGUGGAUUAGUGGCGAACGGGUGAGUAACACGUGAGUAACCUGCCCUUAACUCUGGGAUAAGCCUGGUAAACUGGGUCUAAUACCGGAUAGGAGCGCCUACCGCAUGGUGGGUGUUGGAAAGAUUUAUCGGUUUUGGAUGGACUCGCGGCCUAUCAGCUUGUUGGUGAGGUAAUGGCUCACCAAGGCGACGACGGGUAGCCGGCCUGAGAGGGUGACCGGCCACACUGGGACUGAGACACGGCCCAGACUCCUACGGGAGGCAGCAGUGGGGAAUAUUGCACAAUGGGCGAAAGCCUGAUGCAGCGACGCUGCGUGAGGGAUGACGGCCUUCGGGUUGUAAACCUCUUUCAGUAGGGAAGAAGCGAAAGUGACGGUACCUGCAGAAGAAGCACCGGCUAACUACGUG
rnacentral:rRNA from 1 species